rnacentral:rRNA from 2 species
UACGUAGGUGGCAAGCGUUGUCCGGAAUUAUUGGGCGUAAAGAGCAUGUAGGCGGAGAUUUAAGUCUGUUGUGAAAAUGCGGGGCUCAACCCCGUAUUGCGAUGGAAACUGAAUUUCUUGAGUGCAGGAGAGGAAAGGGGAAUUCCCAGUGUAGCGGUGAAAUGCGUAGAUAUUGGGAGGAACACCAGUGGCGAAGGCGCCUUUCUGGACUGUGUCUGACGCUGAGAUGCGAAAGCCAGGGUAGCGAACGGG